CCUACGGGAGGCAGCAGUGGGGAAUAUUGCGCAAUGGGCGAAAGCCUGACGCAGCGACGCAGCGUGAGGGACGAAGGCCUUCGGGUUGUAAACCUCUUUCAGCGGGGACGAAGCGAAAGUGACGGUACCCGCAGAAGAAGCACCGGCUAACUACGUGCCAGCAGCCGCGGUAAUACGUAGGGUGCAAGCAUUGUCCGGAUUUAUUGGGCGUAAAGAGCUCGUAGGCGGCUUGUCACGUCGGAUGUGAAAACUCGGGGCUCAACCCCGAGCCUGCAUUCGAUACGGGCUAGCUAGAGUGUUGCAGGGGAGACUGGAAUUCCUGGUGUAGCGGUGAAAUGCGCAGAUAUCAGGAGGAACACCGGUGGCGAAGGCGGGUCUCUGGGCAACUACUGACGCUGAGGAGCGAAAGCGUGGGGAGCGAACAGGAUUAGAUACCCUGGUAGUCCACGCCGUAAACGGUGGGCGCUAGGUGUGGGGAACCUUCCACGUUCUCUGUGCCGUAGCUAACGCAUAGCGCCCGCCGUCGGGAGGUACGGCCGCGAGACGUAAACGUACGAAGGUAAGUAGUACGGCGUUGUAGACGUUGCCGACGGCGACGACGAGGGAGGUUAGG
rnacentral:rRNA from 1 species